rnacentral:lncRNA from 10 species
AAUAAAUCACUCCAAAACGUAAUAGCCAAAACAACAUUUAUUAUAGCAGGUUCUGUGGGUCAGGAGUUCAGGUGUGGCUGAGCUGGGUCUUCUGUCUCAGGGUAUUUCACAAGGCUGCAGUCAGCCAGGGCUGUGGUCACCUCAAGGCCUGUUUGGGGGAAAAUCCACUUCCAAGCUUACCAAUGAAGUUGUUGUCAGGAUUCAGCUCUUCAUGUGUUGUUGGAAUGAUGACCUCAGGUCCGUACAGAAGUCUGUCCUCAAUUCCUCGCCACUGAGACUCUCCAUAGGGCAGCUCAAAACAAGGCAGCGGCUUCAUCAGAGAAAGCAAGCAAGAAGAGUGAGAGUGAGAAUGAGCAAGAGAGAGAGAGAUCCCCAGCAAGUCCAAGCUGGAAGUUACUGGAAACCUUACCGAACUUCUUUUUCCCCUUGGAUCUUAUUUCUGAGAGACAGAGACACUCUUCAAAACUUACCCUCUUCCUGGGUAAAGAAGCAGUCCUUUCCAUUAAGACUUCCAUUUCAGAACUUUGGUGAUACUUUAUAAUCUUUUUCUAUCCUAUUAUAAAAUAGCAAUAGUAGACUUUACCAACAAUAUGGAUUUAGUAACUCACAUUGAUCUAGACCACAGUGUACCUUUAAAGAACAGAAAAUCUAAGUAAAAAAUAUUAGAUAUACUGAAAAUUUAGUUGUGAGGCCUUUUGGGGUACAGAAAGCAAUACCCCAAAAUAUGGUGCUUUGGCAUGUUGAGUGCUUGGAAUUAAAGAAAAUUGAAGGAGCUUAGAAAUAAGCCUCAGAACCAAGGUCUUUCUCUGACCUUCCCCUUCCUCCCUGUCUCUCUGAUCCUUUUUCUUCAUGAAGAAAGAAGGGACUCUGUGGAAUUUUCUUCUCUGACUAAGAAAGCUUCUUACAAGGAGAAUUGCAAUUGUCUUAAAAUAUCCCUCCUAAGAAUCACAUGAAAUAACCAGAAAAGAUUAACCACUAGAGAAGAGGAGAUACUGGGAGUCAUCACCAUGCCUAAACAGACUUUCCAUCUAUUCUUCUGAGGGCAGCUCCAGGAGAUUAACUGGGAAGCUUUAACUGGAUAAUAAGACUACCUUUGUUCACUGUGAAGUUCUGCCCCUUGCCUUCUCACCACCUCCCUCCGAGCUCAAAGGAACUUUGUUAUUUACUCCGUGCUGUAUGAAGAAGGCUAUAUAAGCAUCCGGACCUCAUUGGAUUAUUGGGCAAUCAUUUUCCUGUGAUUCUCCCAUGCUUAUGCACAUUAAAUACAUUUUUUAUGACUUUUUCUCCUAUUAAUCUGCCUUUUGUCAGUUUAUUUUCAGCAAACCUUCAGAGGGCAAAGGUGAAGCUUUCCUUCUUUACCCUACAGGCCCUUGAGAGAUCUUGAAAUAUAUUCUUCAUUACAUUAAAGCAAUUCUGUGCUGUGAGAAAGAAUGGCAACUAGUCUCUGUCAAUGUAUUCAAAAAAUUAUUAGGAGGCUAUUAUGUGAUAGGAAAUAUUUUCAGUGGUAGAGAUAAUUUUUCCUUUUCUACAACAAGCUUAAAUUGUACUAAGUCACUUAAUAUUUAUUUGUGUAGUCAUUUAUUGAACUAACACCAUGUAACACGUUUUAUGCACAUUAGUAAUCAUUAUUUUAUUGUAUCAGCUUUUGCUAUGUAAUAAAUCACUCCAAACACAGUGGCUUAAAAUAAACAUUUUAU